rnacentral:rRNA from 1 species
AUUGAACGCUGGCGGCAUGCUUUACACAUGCAAGUCGAGCGGCAGCGCGGGGGCAACCCUGGCGGCGAGCGGCGAACGGGUGAGUAACGCAUCGGAACGUAUCCUCUUGUGGGGGAUAACCCACCGAAAGGUGGGCUAAUACCGCAUAAGCUCUGAGGAGGAAAGCGGGGGACCGAAAGGCCUCGCGCAGGAGGAGCGGCCGAUGUCCGAUUAGCUAGUUGGUGGGGUAAAGGCCCACCAAGGCGACGAUCGGUAGCUGGUCUGAGAGGAUGAUCAGCCACACUGGGACUGAGACACGGCCCAGACUCCUACGGGAGGCAGCAGUGGGGAAUUUUGGACAAUGGGGGCAACCCUGAUCCAGCCAUGCCGCGUGAGUGAAGAAGGC